GAUUUCUGGCUUGAAGCAUUUUGCCGGCCACGGUUUCGUGUGUUAGUGCAUUAUGUUCUGGCCAUCCUUCCAAUCGCUGCUUGCCUUUCUUCAUUGAUUGGUAAGCGGUAUUGGAUCUUUUACUUUGAAAAAAUUAGAGUGUUUCAAGCAGGCUUUAUGCUAUGAAUACAUUAGCAUGGAAUAAUAAUUUAGGACUUCGGUUCUAUUUUGUUGGUUUCUAGGACUGAAGUAAUGAUUGAUAGGGAUAGUUGGGGGUGCUAGUAUUCAGCGGCCAGAGGUGAAAUUCUCGGAUUCGCUGAAGACUAACUUAUGCGAAAGCAUU
rnacentral:rRNA from 1 species